GAGAUAAAGAUUUAUUGGGCUGCAGAUGCUGAAAGCAAAAUUCAGCGAUAGUGCUGACUCCAGCACUUUGCAGUAUUUACCACUCCUGGGGACCCAGUUCUGUGCCUCCCUGCAGGUCCGUGCCUGCUCCUCGGAGGGACGGCGGCUGGAGGUGAAGCGGCGGCAGGAGCGGUGCGGGUAAACUUCUAAAUUCAAGGAAUGAAACCAGAUUUCAAGCUGGACUUCCCAUCCAGCCAUGCUCCUGGCUCUGCUUACAGCCCCACUUGAGACCACCUGCAGCCGUGGCAGCUCCUCAGGAUGGACACGACUUUCCGCAGGAUGGACACGACUGGAGGGGCACGGGAAGGCGGAUGCCGUGUGUGUGGUGUGGGGCCAGUGCCACUGGAGAUGAUGGCAUGGAUCCACCUGACCCUUUGGUGCCAGGUAUGAUGCUGGGAUUCCCAGCUCCCUUUCCCUUCAGGGACGGGGAUGCUGAUCCUGAAAUGCAGCCCAAACCCCCUGGAGGGUGUGUGGUGUCCCCUGCCCGGCUCCCGCUGGCUGCCAGGGCGCGGGAGGUGCCCCUGAGCUAAUUGGAGUGUGCUGAGGAGGGACCCGCUCAGCCUUGACACUGAGACCUAAACUUGCCGUAAAACCAAAUGGAUACACACACCCACAUCCACGAGGCUUUUAGUUCAGCAACAAGUGAAUCCAUCAAAACCCAGCACCUAAUUUAAUAGCAAUAAUGAAAGGUGUGCGUCACUAUUAAUUUAAGCACUCCAACAUUAGCCUUGCACUUAGAAACCAGCAAGGCAAAGCUAUUUACAAAUGAAUGUACCAGGGCAAUAAAUUGAAAGGACUGGUCUGACCUGCGGUGGCGGCUUUCUUCAUUUAUACAUAGAUAUAUUUCUAUAGAUGCAUUUAUUCCCAUCUCUUUAGCGAACUCUCCCUAAUUAAGUUGAAGUGGCAGUGGAAGUGUGGCAGUAAGUGUGGAAAGAAGCUGCUGAAAACGUAUUUAAUUCAUUAUAAAUAAUCUUUGAUACCGUGGGGUUGCAUAAAGGUUUCAGUAUCAGAGCAGGACACCGAGGAAGGCCAAGGAGAUCAUCUGCACACAGUGGGAGCGUCUGCAUCCCGUGGUUUGACGUCCUCGUGCCAGGGAAGGGGGAGCACGGCUGGCAGGAGCAGGGUAAGGCCCACAGACACGGGGCUCUGGCUCCCCGUGGCCCCAGGAGGGUAAUGUAUGUGAGGAGGAAGGUGUAUGUCACCCACAUUAAAGGAGUUUAAUGUGCUCAGAGUCACAUUAUUGUACCCUUGCAGAAUACAUUAUCUGCGCGCUGCCUUCACAGGCUGUCACCUCGCAGAGAGGCUGCAGAGUUCCUGGAAACCAUUAUCAGCCUCUAAUGAUAUUAUCAAAAUUGGAGCACUCGUGGCACGGCGGGGGCUGAGGAUUCAUCCCUGCUGCCACCACUCUGCGUGCCCUGAGAGCCCCUGGGAGCAGCAGGACAGGACUGUGGCACCAAGGAUCCUCCUCCAGAGCACACAGGAGCCCAGCUCAGCCCCCGAGCCUGCAGCAGCCCGUGUGCUCCUUCACCUGCAGCUCCUGGGAAGAGGCUGAACCGCCCUGGCCAGGCCCCGUGCAGGACUGGGGGCACCAGGACCCUCCACGCCUGGGCUGAGCCGUCCCACAUCCCCAUCGCACGCCUGGAGCUUGUGCUGAGGUCGGUUUGGGAGCAAAGACAGCGGGAGAGCUCCAGCUGGGAGCUCCAGCGCUCUAAGCAGCAAAUAAACUCACGUUGGGCUCCUCACCCAGCCUGGGAACAGCCUCCAGCAGCAGCCGCUGUCCGUCCAUCCCUGCCUGGGCCCCAGGGACACCCACACCAGGAACAGAUAUCAUGGAAGACUGUACAGGGAGGCCUGGCCUCGGUGGUGCAGGGCUGAGCCACAGAAACCCAGAACAUAAACACAACAGGUGAGACCCAGACCCUCCCCUGCCCAGGGGCUGCUCCCACGUGCUGUGUUAAGGCUCAGGAAGUUUUCUCUGUACAAAAGCAAGGUGGGAGGCUGGCAGAGGGUGGGCAGUGGCCCAGGGAGCUGCCCCCAGCCCCGUGGGGAACAGGGCAGUUCUACGACAGUGGGAUCCGUGUGCAGAGCUCCAGUGACCUGGAGAGAUGGAAGAAAGACACCUCUGGUGAAUUCAACCAAAAAAUGCAGCUCUGGGUCUCAGCAAUCCAUUCCUGUGUUCCCUGAUGUACUAAGGAUGAACAAGGCCAAGAUAGUUACAAAUCCCAGUACAAAGUACAUCUUAAUUUUUAUUGUUAAAGAAUAAUAUUGAGAGGUGAAGGCAUUUCUCAGUCCCCGGGGGCAAGGUGCCUCAGUGGCUGUGCCAGCCCCGGGGUGGCAGCAGCUGAGGGUCCCUGGCAGGAGGAUUCUCCUCUCCACCUCCAAGACGUGGAUUCCCAACCACCGUGCUGCCUCCAGCAAGGAACUUCCAAUACCGCAUUUGCAAAGCUGAAAAGCACAGUUAAAUAAAAAUAUUUUUGAACAAAACAAA